AGUGAACGCUGGCGGUAGGCCUAACACAUGCAAGUCGAACGGCAGCACAGUAAGAGCUUGCUCUUACGGGUGGCGAGUGGCGGACGGGUGAGGAAUACAUCGGAAUCUACUUUUUCGUGGGGGAUAACGUAGGGAAACUUACGCUAAUACCGCAUACGACCUACGGGUGAAAGCAGGGGAUCUUCGGACCUUGCGCGAUUGAAUGAGCCGAUGUCGGAUUAGCUAGUUGGCGGGGUAAAGGCCCACCAAGGCGACGCUCCGUAGCUGGUCUGAGAGGAUGAUCAGCCACACUGGAACUGAGACACGGUCCAGACUCCUACGGGAGGCAGCAGUGGGGAAUAUUGGACAAUGGGCGCAAGCCUGAUCCAGCCAUACCGCGUGGGUGAAGAAGGCCUUCGGGUUGUAAAGCCCUUUUGUUGGGAAAGAAAAGCAGCAGGUUAAUACCCCGCUGUUCUGACGGUACCCAAAGAAUAAGCACCGGCUAACUUCGUG
rnacentral:rRNA from 1 species